AUCAAGAACCCACAGUUUGUGUUCGAUGUGCAGACUUCGGAUAACAUGGACGCGGUGCUGCUGGUCAUCGCACAGACCUUCAUGGAUGCCUGCACCCUGGCCGACCACAAGCUGGGCCGGGAUUCUCCCAUCAACAAGCUUCUGUAUGCUCGAGAUAUUCCCCGUUACAAACAGAUGGUGGAAAGGUACUAUGCAGACAUCCGACAGACUGUCCCAGCCAGUGACCAAGAGAUGAACUCAGUCUUGGCAGAGCUGUCCCGGGUAAGGCCUCCCCGUCAUACUUAUCAUUUGUGGAGGUCCUUGUCACCCCCUGUCAUCUGCCUGGGAGAGGACACACCUUGUCAUCAUACAGGCAGAGUAUUCCUGUGUUCCUGUAAAAGGCCAGCCCUGUCAUGUCAUCA
rnacentral:lncRNA from 1 species